rnacentral:lncRNA from 1 species
ACAUGGUGGCUCAUGACCAUCUAUAAGGCAAUCUGAUGCCCUCUUCUGGUAUUUGGGUGUACAUGCAGCAGAAUACUCACUCAAUCAAAAAAAAAAAAAAAAAAGACCGACUGCUGGGUUUGCUGGCGGCCAGCCCAGCUCUAUGUUCAGUGAGAGAUCCUGUUCUCAAGCAAAUAUGGAAAAAGUAUGUCGCUCUGAGAGUGACAGAGUGGGACACCUGAUGUUUCUCUUCUGCUUCCAUGUUUGGCCAGUGACUAUCAUCUGUUCCACAGGAUGAGUAACAGCCACCCUCUUCGCCCCUUUACUGCAGUGGGGGAAAUCGAUCAUGUGCACAUUUUGUCUGAGCAUAUUGGUGCCUUGUUGAUUGGUGAAGAAUAUGGUGAUGUCACGUUUGUUGUGGAAAAGAAGCACUUUCCUGCCCACAGGGUAAUUUUAGCAGCGAGGUGCCAAUAUUUUCGAGCAUUACUGUAUGGCGGGAUGCGAGAGUCGCAGCCCGAAGCAGAGAUCCCUCUCCAAGACACCACGGCCGAGGCUUUCACGAUGCUCCUCAGAUAUAUCUACACGGGGCGGGCGACGCUCACUGAUGAGAAGGAGGAGGUGCUGCUGGACUUCCUGAGCCUGGCUCACAAAUACGGAUUUCCAGAGCUGGAGGACUCUACUUCUGAGUAUCUCUGCACCAUACUGAACAUUCAGAAUGUCUGUAUGACCUUUGAUGUUGCCAGUCUCUACUCGCUUCCCAAGUUAACUUGUAUGUGCUGCAUGUUCAUGGACAGAAAUGCUCAGGAGGUGCUGGCCAGCGACGGCUUCCUCUCCCUGUCCAAGACAGCACUCCUGAAUAUCGUCUUAAGAGAUUCGUUUGCUGCUCCUGAGAAAGAUAUUUUCUUAGCCUUGUUAAACUGGUGUAAGCACAAUGCAAAAGAGAAUCAUGCUGAAAUCAUGCAGGCUGUGCGCUUACCUCUAAUGAGCCUCACUGAGCUUCUGAACGUCGUGAGGCCAUCAGGACUCUUGUCUCCGGAUGCUAUUCUUGAUGCCAUCAAAGUGCGGUCGGAGAGCCGGGAUAUGGACCUCAACUACAGAGGCAUGCUCAUACCUGAAGAAAACAUUGCAACUAUGAAGUAUGGGGCUCAGGUUGUGAAAGGAGAGCUGAAGUCGGCCUUGCUGGAUGGUGACACUCAAAACUAUGACUUGGAUCAUGGAUUUUCCCGGCACCCCAUUGAUGAUGACUGCCGCUCUGGCAUUGAGAUCAAGCUUGGCCAGCCGUCCAUUAUAAACCACAUACGUCUACUCCUGUGGGACCGUGACAGCCGGUCUUAUUCCUACUUUAUUGAAGUGUCCAUGGACGAACUUGAUUGGAUCAGAGUGAUCGAUCACUCACAUUACCUGUGUCGGUCUUGGCAAAAGUUGUAUUUCCCAGCCCGUGUCUGCAGGUCCUGAGUUCAAAUCCCAGCAACCACAUGGUGGCUCACAACCAUCUGUAAUGAGAUCUGAUACCCUCUUCUGGAGUGUCUGAAGACAGCUACAGUGUACU